GAUGAACGCUGGCGGCGUGCCUAAUACAUGCAAGUCGAGCGAACAGAUAAGGAGCUUGCUCCUUUGACGUUAGCGGCGGACGGGUGAGUAACACGUGGGUAACCUACCUAUAAGACUGGGAUAACUUCGGGAAACCGGAGCUAAUACCGGAUAACAUUUGGAACCGCAUGGUUCUAAAGUGAAAGAUGGUUUUGCUAUCACUUAUAGAUGGACCCGCGCCGUAUUAGCUAGUUGGUAAGGUAACGGCUUACCAAGGCGACGAUACGUAGCCGACCUGAGAGGGUGAUCGGCCGCACUGGAACUGAGACACGGUCCAGACUCCUACGGGAGGCAGCAGUAGGGAAUCUUCCGCAAUGGGCGAAAGCCUGACGGAGCAACGCCGCGUGAGUGAUGAAGGGUUUCGGCUCGUAAAACUCUGUUAUUAGGGAAGAACAAAUGUGUAAGUAACUGUGCACGUCUUGACGGUACCUAAUCAGAAAGCCACGGCUAACUACGUG
rnacentral:rRNA from 1 species